UCAACGGGACGAUGGCAGCAAUGAAGGAAGGAAGGAAGGAAGGAUAGGGUAGAAUCAGGGACCAGUUCGGUCGUCCGGCCUCGACGGUUCCUAUCGGUGGUCGUAAGGUUCUCAUCGACGUAAGCGUUAUUGCUCACCGUUCGUGGGCUGUCAUCUUUCCGACCAUCACUUUCCUGCAUCCCUUUCUUUGUUCUCAUCUCAUCGUUGAUUCGUUCAAGGAAAAAAAGCUGUGAUGUCUGUUCAUCGGGACUCCUUCAGCACCCAGGUGGCUGAGGCAAUUCUCCUCUCUCUCUCUCUCUCUCUCUCUCUCUCUCUCUCUCUCUC
rnacentral:lncRNA from 1 species